rnacentral:sRNA from 1 species
GCCGGGUGCAGUGGCACACACCUGUAAUUCCAGUGGCUUCGGAGGCUGAGGCAGGAGGCUCAUGGGUUCAAAGCCAGUCUCAGCAAAAGCGAGGCCCUAAGCAACUCAGUGAGACCCUGUCUCUA